UACAGAGGGUGCGAGCGUUAAUCGGAAUUAUUGGGCGUAAAGAGCGCGUAGGCGGUCCGAUAAGUCGGCUGUGAAAGUCAGGGGCUCAACCCCUGAAUGCCGGCCGAUACUGUCGGGCUAGAGUCCGGAAGAGGCGAGUGGAAUUCCCGGUGUAGCGGUGAAAUGCGCAGAGAUGCGGAGGAACACCGAUGGCGAAGGCAGCCCCCUGGGCUAACACUGACGCUCAUGCACGAAAGCGUGGGGAGCAAACAGG
rnacentral:rRNA from 1 species